GACAGAGGAGCCAAGCGUUGUUCGGAUUGACUGGGCGUAAAGCGCACGCAGGCGGUCGCGCGCGUGGGGUGUGAAAUCUGGCCGCUUAACGGCCAGGCGCCAUCCCAUACGGCGCGACUGGAGUGAUGCAGAGGUCGAUGGAAUUGCCGGUGUAGUGGUGAAAUGCGUAGAGAUCGGCAGGAACACCCAGGGGGAAACCAGUCGACUGGGCAUCUACUGACGCUGAGGUGCGAGAGCGUGGGGAGCGAACCGG
rnacentral:rRNA from 1 species